rnacentral:rRNA from 1 species
UGGGGAAUAUUGCACAAUGGGCGAAAGCCUGAUGCAGCGACGCCGCGUGGGGGAUGACGGUCUUCGGAUUGUAAACUCCUUUCAGUAGGGACGAAGCGAAAGUGACGGUACCUGCAGAAGAAGCACCGGCCAACUACGUGCCAGCAGCCGCGGUAAUACGUAGGGUGCAAGCGUUGUCCGGAAUUACUGGGCGUAAAGAGCUCGUAGGCGGUUUGUCACGUCGUCUGUGAAAUCCUCCAGCUCAACUGGGGGCGUGCAGGCGAUACGGGCAGACUUGAGUACUACAGGGGAGACUGGAAUUCCUGGUGUAGCGGUGAAAUGCGCAGAUAUCAGGAGGAACACCGGUGGCGAAGGCGGGUCUCUGGGUAGUAACUGACGCUGAGGAGCGAAAGCAUGGGGAGUAAACAGG